CUGGAGCGGAACGGCGUUGACGUGCGCGCCCGGGAGGCGUACGCUGACCCGCGGCUGGCCAGCUAUGCCCUGCUGGCCGCCGCCCCCGACGGGCGGCACGUGCUGCUGGCCGGCCUGCGCGGCGAGCUCGUCACACUGAGGGACGAUGGCCAUUGCUUUGUGCGGGUCGGCGAUCAGCUGCUAUGGGACAGCAAGAUCUACAGCGCCCUCUGGCUGUCAUCGGACACAAUAGUCGCCUGUGAUGGUGCCGGCCAACUGCAAGUGCUGCAGUUAGGUGGCAGUGGCACGUUCUCACUGGUGUGCCGCCACCAGCUACCUCCGUGCAAGCAGCGAUGGCUGUCAGCAGCGGCGCUCUACCAGGGCUGCCUGACGGCGGCUGACAGGGAAGGCGGCCUUCACGUGUUCCGCCCG